UACGUAGGUGGCAAGCGUUGUCCGGAUUUACUGGGCGUAAAGGGCGUGCAGGCGGUUUGUUAAGUCUAGGGUGAAAGCUCCCGGCUCAACUGGGAGAGGUCCUUGGAUACUGGCAAACUUGAGGGAGGCAGAGGAGAGUGGAAUUCCCGGUGUAGUGGUGAUAUGCGUAGAUAGUCGGGAGGAACACCAGUGGCGAAGGCGGCUCUCUGGGCCUUUCUGACGUUGAGACGCGGAAAGCGUGGGGAGCGAACCGG
rnacentral:rRNA from 1 species